GUAAGUUCUCUAUAAUUAUUUUAUGCACCUAUCAAUUUACAACGCGCGGGAAAUUAACACAAUACCUUUAACUACUUUCCCACAAUCAUUCAAAACUAUAUGAGAAAAUAAAUUUCGCUUUUCACAACGGAACGGUCACUGUUUAAAGUAAAUUGUAGCUAACCGUUUGUUAAGUCUCAGAAACGUAUUUGGAUUUUAGCGUCUGCGAAAGUGAUUUAACUUAAAUACCUACUGUAUACUUUAUUAUAUUGUUAAUUUACAAAAAAUCAUAUUAAGUAAAUACAGCAGUCUACGAGAUUGUGGAUAGAACCCCAUAAAUCAUUCAUCCAUAGGAUUACAGGAACCUGUUAUAUUUAGCAUUAACCAAUAAAUAGUAAAUUGACUAAUUAUUUUCGACGUUAUGAUGAAAAAUUCGAUGAUGUCAAAUAACAAGAAACACGAUUUAUCGAAUAG